GUGAGUCAUCGAAUCUUUGAACGCACAUUGCGCCCGCCAGUAUUCUGGCGGGCAUGCCUGUCCGAGCGUCAUUUCAACCCUCAAGCCCCUCCGGGUGCGCUUGGUGUUGGAGACCGGCGAACCCGGCCCCUCCCCGGGGCCCCGGGCGCCGCCUCCCAAAUCCAGUGGCGGUCUCGCCGCAGCCUUCCCUGCGUAGUAGCAUCUUAUUUCGCAUGGGAGAGCGGCGCGGCCACGCCGUUAAACACCCCACUUCUGAACGGUUGACCUCGGAUCAGGUAGGACUACCCGCUGAACUUAAGCAUAUCAAUAAGCGGAGGA
rnacentral:misc_RNA from 1 species